rnacentral:rRNA from 1 species
UACGUAGGGCGCAAGCGUUGUCCGGAAUCAUUGGGCGUAAAGCGCGCGUAGGCGGCCCGAUAAGUCCGCUGUGAAAGUCAACGGCUCAACUGUUGGAUGCCGGUGGAUACUGUCGGGCUAGAGUACGGAAGAGGCAAGUGGAAUUCCUGGUGUAGCGGUGGAAUGUGCAGAUAUCAGGAGGAACACCGAUGGCGAAGGCAGGUCUCUGGGCCGAUACUGACGCUGAGGAGCGAAAGCGUGGGGAGCGAACAGG